CGGAUUAGAUACCCUGGUAGUCCACGCUGUAAACGAUGGGUACUAGAUUUGGAGGGACUUGACCCCCGCCGAAUCGGAGCUAACGCGCUAAGUACCCCGCCUGGGAAGUACGGUCGCAAGACUAAAACUCAAAGGAAUUGACGGGGGCCCGCACAAGCGGUGGAUCAUGUGGUUUAAUUCGAAGCAACGCGAAGAACCUUACCUGGGUUUGACAUCCCUGGACCGGCAUAGAGAUAUGCCUUUCGUAGCAAUACGACCGGGAGACAGGUGCUGCAUGGCUGUCGUCAGCUCGUGUGGUGACAUGUUGGGUUAAGUCCCGCAACGAGCGCAACCCUUGUCCUUAGUUGCCAUCAUUCAGUUGGGCUCUCUAAGGAGACUGCCGUGGUUAACACGGAGGAAGGUGGGGAUGACGUCAAGUCCUCAUGGCCUUUAUAUCCAGGGCGACACACGUGAUACAAUGGACGGUACAGAGGGAAGCGAAACCGCGAGGUGGAGCUAAUCUCAAAAAGCCGUUCUCAGUUCGGAUUGGAGUCUGGAACCCGACUCCAUGAAGUUGGAAUCGCUAGUAAUCGCGCAUCAUCAUGGCGCGGUGAAUACGUUCCCGGGCCUUGUACACACCGCCCGUCACACCACCCGAGUUGGGGGUACCCGAAGUCAGUAGUCUAACCGCAAGGGGGGCGCUGCCGAAAGUAUGCCUGGUGAGGGGGGUGAAGUCGUAACAAG
rnacentral:rRNA from 1 species